rnacentral:rRNA from 1 species
GACUAUGAUCAUACCACCAUGAAUGGACCUGACCUCUUCUGGUCUCAGAAGCUAAGUGUGCCAGGUUAGUACUUGGACGGAGACCACCUGAGAGUACCACUGUUACAGGCU